UACGUAGGGGGCUAGCGUUGUCCGGAUUUACUGGGCGUAAAGGGCGCGUAGGCGGCUUUGUAAGUUAGAGGUGAAAGCCCGGGGCUCAACUCCGGAACUGCCUUUAAGACUGCAUCGCUUGAAUCCAGGAGAGGUGAGUGGAAUUCCGAGUGUAGAGGUGAAAUUCGUAGAUAUUCGGAAGAACACCAGUGGCGAAGGCGGCUCACUGGACUGGUAUUGACGCUGAGGUGCGAAAGCGUGGGGAGCAAACAGG
rnacentral:rRNA from 1 species